rnacentral:rRNA from 1 species
UACGUAGGGUGCAAGCGUUGUCCGGAAUUAUUGGGCGUAAAGAGUUCGUAGGCGGUUUGUCGCGUCUGCUGUGAAAACUCGGGGCUUAACUCCGGGCCUGCAGUGGGUACGGGCAGACUAGAGUGCGGUAGGGGAGACUGGAAUUCCUGGUGUAGCGGUGAAAUGCGCAGAUAUCAGGAGGAACACCGGUGGCGAAGGCGGGUCUCUGGGCAGUAACUGACGCUGAGGAGCGAAAGCGUGGGGAGCGAACAGG